GCUUCUAUAGCUUAGUGGAGAGCCCCUUCGUAAGGGAAAAGUCCCGAGUUCCUCGGUGGGAGCACCA
rnacentral:tRNA from 1 species